GCGAACGCUGGCGGCAGGCUUAACACAUGCAAGUCGAGCGGGCGUAGCAAUACGUCAGCGGCAGACGGGUGAGUAACGCGUGGGAACGUACCUUUUGGUUCGGAACAACACAGGGAAACUUGUGCUAAUACCGGAUAAGCCCUUACGGGGAAAGAUUUAUCGCCGAAAGAUCGGCCUGCGUCUGAUUAGCUAGUUGGUAGGGUAACGGCCUACCAAGGCGACGAUCAGUAGCUGGUCUGAGAGGAUGAUCAGCCACAUUGGGACUGAGACACGGCCCAAACUCCUACGGGAGGCAGCAGUGGGGAAUCUUGCGCAAUGGGCGAAAGCCUGACGCAGCGACGCCGCGUGAGGGAUGACGGCCUUCGGGUUGUAAACCGUCUUUCAGCUCCGACGAAGCGGAAGUGACGGUAGGAGCAGAAGAAGCACCGGCCAACUACGUGCCAGCAGCCGCGGUAA
rnacentral:rRNA from 1 species